rnacentral:lncRNA from 1 species
GGGGUGGGCCAUCACCACUCCUCCUGCCCUUCAGUGGCCAGAUCCCAGCCCAGCUUCCCCUCCAGCCUCCGGAUGAUUCACUGGAUGACUUUCUCGGGGAGAAGUGGGAGGAGAUGAUGGUUAACAAAAAUAACUACAGACACUGAAAGCAUCAUCAAGCCUCUGUCUGUGGAGCAAACAACAGGGGCAAAGCCAAGGUUUCUCCCCAGCAGAGCAAGGCAGGUGUCCAUCCUUCCAGCACUGGUAGGAUUCAAACAUGUACUGUGUGGUCCAAGUCAGCCAGACUUCAUGGUGAGUGAAAUCAGACAGCCACUGCUCCUGAGGCCCCCGCUGCCACGUUAGAUGUGAACGCUCUUCGUAAAUGGUGGAGGACGCACACGUGGGUAGAGUGAGCAUUAAACAUCACCAAGCUGAUCAUUCCCUCUGCGUGUCUUUUUUAUUUUUCACAAAGGGCUUUAUCUCACUGGAUGGUCACAUCAACAGGGAGAGAAGGGCAGUUUUACAGGUGAAGAAAAGGACUCAGAAAAUCGGUAACUUGCCUAGAGCACGAUUCUCAAAGUGGUCCAGCAGCCGGCAGCAUCAGCAUCCACUGGGAAUUUGUUCAACAUGCAAAUUCUGGGCUCCACUUAGAUCUGAAUCAGAUGCUCUGGUGUGGGCCCCACAGUGUGGGGUCCCAAGCACCCCAGGUGAUUCACAUGCAUGCCCAAGUUGAGAACCCCUGACCUAGAGCCAUGCAGGUGGCAAGUUCCAGAGAGACCCAAGGACAUCCUCAGGUGCCAUCUUUCAUAAAGUUACUCGCACUUCAGUGGCUCACAGCUCCUGCUCCUACUUGCUCCGGGAAGCUCUGCACACACCAGUUCCAGCUACAUCUCCAAACUCCAGCCCAUUCCUCCCCCUGUUCCCACCAGCUGCCUCUCUUCUGCAGCUCUUUUCUGCCCCAGGACCUUUGCACAUCCUGUUUCCUCUGCCUGGGAUGCCAUCCCUCCUGGCCCGAGCCUCCUCGCAUGAAGUCCCAAGGCAAGCACCCCCUCUUCAGAGGGCUCUCUUUAGGGCACCUCCAUGACUCUGUCAGACCCCUCUGUUUAUUUUCAUCCUAGCACUUGACUGAAGUUACCUUGUUUGUUUACCAGGAAGUAAAUGUCCUAUCUUUCUUGUGUCCCAUGAUGUCUCCACAGCCCACCACAGUGCUUAGCACACGGCAGACACACAAACACAUUGUAUAAAUAAACAACAUACUAGAGGCAACUCAGAAAAAGGAAAAGGCGUCUUCCUCCAUUCCUGACUCCUCUGAGAAGGGCCAGUCUAGGCUGUCCUUUGCCAGGGGGACAGGGAAGUUAAGGGUUUCUUUGAAUAUCGGGGGCCCCCGAUAAAACUCCCACACAGGACUUGGUUCUCAAAGAGAAGCAGAUCAGUGAAUUAAGCUACAGUUGCCAUAGGUGGGGAGGGAGGGAAGCUGGUUCUAGACGGAGUGUGUGGAGUGGUGGCACCCAGUGGAGGGCUUGGCUUCCUGAAGUUUGGGAGGGGCAGCUCUUUUAUUAUUAUUAUUACUACUACUACUAUUAUUACUACUGGUUAAAAAAAAACCAGUGACAUGAAAUCUGCCCUCUUAACCAGUACUUGAGCGUGCAGUGCAGUGCUGCUACUGUCCACCCAGUGCUGUACAGUAAAUCUCUAGCACUCCCUUAUCUUGCAGGACGGAAACCCAUUAAACAGCAGCUCCUCACUUUGCCUCUGGCAGUCACCGUGCUACCUUCUGUUUCUGUGAGAGUGAACACUCUAGGCACCUCAUACAACUAGAAUUGAAUAGCAUUUGGCUUUUGGUGGCUGGCUUAGUUCACUCAGCAAAGUGUCCUCAAGAUUCAUUCAUUCAUACGUGACAGGAAUGCUUUCUUUUUCAAGGCUGAAUAAUAUUCUGUGGUGUGUAUACCUUUACUUUAUCCGUCAACUGUUGAAGGACACUUAGGUUGCUUCCCCCUCCUGGUUAUUGUGAAUAACGAUGCUCAUUUCCACAUGAGAGUGCACAUGUUUCUUCGAGGUCCUGUUUUCAGUCCUUUUGGGGAUACCCUGAAGUGGAACUGCUGGGUCAUGUGAUAGUUAUAUUUUUAACUCUUUGAGGAGCCUCCACACUAUCUGCCACCGCUUUACAGCAGCUGCGCGAUGUUACAGUCCCAACAACAGCACACAAGAGUUCCAGUUACUUCACAUCCUCGACAACCGUUGCUAUUUUCUGGGUUUUGUUUUUAGGGUUUUUUGUUUGUUUGGUCUUUUUAGGGCCGCACCCGAGGCAUAUGGGUUCCCAGGCUAGGGGUCUAAUCAAGCUGCAGCUGCCGGCCUACACCCCAGACACAGCAACGCAGGAUCCGAGCCGCGUCUGCGACCUACACCACAGCUCACGGCCACACCGGAUCUCUGACCCACUAGGCGAGAUCAGGGAUCAAACCUGCAUCCUCACGGAUCCUAGGCGGAUUCAUUUCCGCUGCGCCACAACAGGACCUCUCUGUUGCUGUUUUUAGUGAUGACCACUCUAACAGGUCAGGGUGCACUCCCACAGCUCUUGAUUUGUGUCUCUGAUGAUUAGUGAUGUCAAGCAUCUUUACACACACCUGCUGGUCGUGUGUCUUCUUCGGAGAAAUGGCUCUUCAAGUCCUUUGAAGGGACAGCUUUUUUGGAAGGAAGGUUUGCAAGAGAUGGAGCCCCCUAGGUGUCCCAUUUACAUCUACGCUCUAAAUGGGGCUGGGGGGCGGUGGUUGCCCAAGGCGAGAAGGACCAGAUGACUUGCCUGGAAGCCUUAGACCAAUCCUAGUGCUCAAGCUUGAUGGAGUGAGCACCCCACACACUUCAGAGGGACCACUUGGGGCCAUGUUGGCUGGAGCUGCAGCUGAGACACUAUGGUGUUUAUUACUGCAUGUUCUGUACUGCGUAGACACCUGGGUUCCAGAACAGUCUUAAGGAAGGCACUGCCUUGAACGUGACUAAACUCCCGUGACUAUCUAUUUUGCUUAAAUCGUGGUCAAAUUCACAUAGCAUAGGAGUUCAUAUUGUGUGUCAGCGGUAGCAGACCUGACUGGUAAUCCAUGAAGAUGCGGCUUCAGUCCCUGGCCUCGAUAAAUGGCUUAAGGAUCCAGCAUUGCUGUGUGGUGUAGGUCGCAGAUGUGGCUCGGGUUCCGUGUUGCUGUGGCUGUGGCAUAGGCCCACAGCUGCGGCUCCAAUUCAACCCCUAACCUGGGAACUUCCAUGUGCCGCAGGUGUGGCCCUUAAAAAAAAAAAAGAAAACUCACAUAACAAAAAAUUUACCAUCUUGGCCAUUUUAAAUCGUACAGUUCCUGGCCUUUUAAGUACCUUGCUGUGCAGCCAUCACCAUCACCCGUCUGUGGAACUUUUUCAUUUUGCCGAACUGAAACUCUGUGUCUACUAAACACUAAUUCCCCAUCCCUCUCCUUCCUGUCUCCUGGCAGCCACCCUUCUGCUUUCUUUCCCUCUGAAGUUCACUGCUCUAGGUACCUGAGGUGAAAGGAACCAUACAGUGUUUUCAUGUCUGGCUUAUUUCACUCAGCAUAGUGUCCUCAAGGUUCAAACCAUGUUUUAGCAUGUACCAGGGAAUUUCCUUCCCUUUUUUCCCUUCCAGCUUUAUUGAGGUUGACUAAAGCGCCGUAGAAGUUUAAGGUGUACAGCAUAAUGAUUUGACUUACACACGUGAAAUGAUGACCACAGUAAGCUCAGUGAACAUCCGUCAUCUCAUAUAGAUACAAAAUUGGAGAAAAAAAUUUUGUCCUGUAAUGAGAACUCUUAGGAUUUACUUUCUUAAAACUUUCAUGUGUAACAUAGAGCCCUGUUAAUUAUAUUUAUCAUGUUGUACACUACAUCCCUACUGCUUAUUUACUUUGUAACUAGAAGUUUGUACCUUUUGGGAGUUCCCUUUAUGGCACAGUGGAAAUGAAUCCAACUAGUAUCCAUGAGGACAUGGGUUCAAUCCCUGGCCUCGCUCAGUGGGUCAGGGAUCUGGUGUUGCCGUGAGCUGUGGUGUAGGUCACAGACAUGGCUUAGAUCCUCUGUUGCUGUGGCUGUAGUGUAGGCUGGCAGCUGCAGCUC